rnacentral:misc_RNA from 1 species
CUCCCAAGCUUAGGGGGGAACCUUUCGACAGUCAUAGCUACGGCAACACAGGCAACAAGAAGGCGGCCAUUGCCUGAGGUCAGCUUCGCCCCUAACUCCCUAGUUGUGAAUGGGUAAUGGGUUAAGGCGGAUAGGUUCCGAAAAACCGUCCGUCCCAUACAGCGGAGAACUGCCUCGGGCGCCCCGCACGAGACCGGGCGAAUUAUAGGGAAGGUGGGAUCUAUCUCUAUCUUUAUGCUCGGCUCGGUCCCCAAGCAGCGUGAACUAUGAAAUCUGUAACUUUGCUUAACACUCAUUAAAGAGCAAUAUAAAUUUCUGAGUCAUAUACAGGUCAGA